GGAGAGGUGACCGAGUGGCCGAAGGUGCACGACUGGAAAUCGUGUGUGCGUUAACAGCGCACCGAGGGUUCGAAUCCCUCUCUCUCCG
rnacentral:tRNA from 1 species